CCAUGCCGCGUGUUGUGAAGAAGGCCUUAUGGUUGUAAAGCACUUUAAGCGAGGAGGAGGCUACUUUAGUUAAUACCUAGAGAUAGUGGACGUUACUCGCAGAAUAAGCACCGGCUAACUCUGUGCCAGCAGCCGCGGUAAUACAGAGGGUGCGAGCGUUAAUCGGAUUUACUGGGCGUAAAGCGUGCGUAGGCGGCUUAUUAAGUCGGAUGUGAAAUCCCCGAGCUUAACUUGGGAAUUGCAUUCGAUACUGGUGAGCUAGAGUAUGGGAGAGGAUGGUAGAAUUCCAGGUGUAGCGGUGAAAUGCGUAGAGAUCUGGAGGAAUACCGAUGGCGAAGGCAGCCAUCUGGCCUAAUACUGACGCUGAGGUACGAAAGCAUGGGGAGCAAACAGGAUUAGAUACCCUGGUAGUCCAUGCCGUAAACGAUGUCUACUAGCCGUUGGGGCCUUUGAGGCUUUAGUGGCGCAGCUAACGCGAUAAGUAGACCGCCUGGGGAGUACGGUCGCAAGACUAAAACUCAAAUGAAUUGACGGGGGCCCGCACAAGCGGUGGAGCAUGUGGUUUAAUUCGAUGCAACGCGAAGAACCUUACCUGGGCCUUGACAUACUAGAAACUUUCCAGAGAUGGAUUGGUGCCUUCGGGAAUCUAGAUACAGGUGCUGCAUGGCUGUCGUCAGCUCGUGUCGUGAGAAUGUUGGGUUAAGUCCCGCAACGAGCGCAACCC
rnacentral:rRNA from 1 species